rnacentral:rRNA from 1 species
UUCAGAGGGGGCAAGCGUUAAUCGGAAUUACUGGGCGUAAAGCGCACGUAGGUGGCUGGGUAAGUUGGAUGUGAAAUCCCCGGGCUUAACUUGGGAAUUGCAUUCAAGACUGCCUUGCUAGAGUGUGGAAGAGGGAAGCGGAAUUCCAGGUGUAGCGGUGAAAUGCGUAGAUAUCUGGAGGAACAUCAGUGGCGAAGGCGGCUUCCUGGUCCAACACUGACACUGAGGUGCGAAAGCGUGGGGAGCAAACAGG